CCGUGGGUGCUGCCGCCCUGCCGCAGCCGUGCCCUCGGGCGUCAGGAUGCGGCAGGGGCCCGGGCUGAGCGCCGCCGGGGAGGAGGGCGUGUGGCCACAGCGCUGGCAGCGCCCGUGUGGGGCAGCUGUGCUGCUUGGGGCCGUGACAGGCUCUGUGUUCCCAGGGAUCGCCGGGCGGCACCUGAGGCGGCAGAAGGAAGAGCUCCAGCUCAUCUGUGAGGCCCUUCAAGUGCUGAGGAGAGACGACAGCCCCUCCCUCACAGGCAUAUUUGUCCAGCUGACAUUCGAGAAAAGAUCUGCAGAACUGCGUUCAUCUGCUUGAUCAGAAGACCGAGUGUCCUUAGAAGACCUCCAGAUGCCAUUGAAGAUGGGACCACCUGGAGAGCAGAGGGCACCAGCUGGAGCUCCAGGCUCAGCCGAUGCUGGUUGCAGCUCAUGCUGGUCACAGCUGAGCCUGUGGGAAGCUCUAGGAGCUCCUGCCAUCUUCCUGCCUGCUGACAGCUGCCUCCCUCCAGCUGUCAGACCCUGCGCAUCCCCUUUUUCUCCUCCGAGCUCAUCCCUUUGCUUUGCCUUCCGUUAAUAAACAGUUUGGCUUCUUCACUUUACUUGCGUCUCUGUGGAGCUGAAGAGGCGCAAAACCUGAGCCCUGGGACAUGCAGGCUCCUGCUGCCGUUUUCUGCGCUGUGUUUUGUGCAGAGACAGAGAGGAACAAGGGCAGGUCAGGCUGGAAAGGUCCCUGUCCUGCAGGUCCAGUUCCACAACAUCGUGGAGUUCAAGGUCUUGCUGAGCACACUGAAGGGGACAAGGACCCUGGGUUUUAGAAGAGCCAGCCGUGAGGGAUGCCAUGGCAAGCAUCCGCAGAGGGCAAAGGAGCUUGGAAUGCUGGAAGUUUUCAUGAAAAGCUUUCUGAAAGCACAGCAAAGGCCCAUCCCUGCACAGGGACAGGAAGAGGGCACAAGCAGAGACCAUCGUGGCUUAACAGUGAGCUUUGGCUGUGCCUAAAAGCAAAUGAAGCAGCAGCAGCAGAGUGGCUGAGACUCAGAGGCGCGACCAUCGCGGUGUCUGGAGCGCUGUCAGGCAGUGCCUGGAUCCUGGGUGCGGUUCUGGUCCCCACAAGGGAGGAAUCGCAGCCCCUGCCUCAGAGCCAGUCCAAAACCCAACCAAGCGAGACCAGAGGGAGGGGACCCUUCCCAUCUCUCUUGGGCAUGGCUGCAAAACAGCCGCUGCUUCUUCCUGCGCCUGUGUUUGGGGUCUGCUGACCCCAGAGCCAGCCGGCUUGUGCUCUGUUGUCCGAAGAGUGUUCAGAGCGGGCAUGAGAAGCGCUCCGUGCACAGCGGAGAGUCCUGGAAGGCGCUCACAGGAGCCUCCUGCGGGAACAGGGCUCUGCUCUCUGGCUGGGAGCAGCCUGGUUUUGCUGCUGUGACCGCAGGCAGGAGUUGAGGCAGGUGAAGAGGCAGCGGGCAGCUUGUGUUUGUAGGGGCCCGGGGCUGCGCGCCUGAACCGACACGUGGAAACAGAGUUAGGUUAAAGAAUUACAUUCUACCAAAGAAGAGAUAACUCAUUCUGUGGAGUGAAAGAAUACAUUCUACAACUAUAGAUAGUACCUGUGCACUAUAGUGCUUCCUUACACUACAGAUAGUGAAAGCUGCAACAUAUGGAAGGUCUAAUAUAAAAUCAAAUGUUAACACCUUUUUUUUCUUAAAGGCAAUUUAAAGGAGAUUAAGAUCUACAAAUGCAUUAGAGAAUACAUUUUCUAUCUCUACCUUUAAGACAACCUUUCCACUGCUGAUAGAUGAUAGGGUUGGAAAUAUCUUAAGGAGAAAAGCUCUAUGCAAACAUAUUUCCUAUUUUUACAGAUUAGUGUGUUUUUCCAGUAGCUAGGUAACCAGAACCACUUUCCUUCAGCUUGUUGGCCUUUAGACUCUUUCAUUUUAAGUAGAGAAAAAGUAAGAAAUAAAAAAUUGGGUUAAUAGA